rnacentral:rRNA from 1 species
GACGAACGCUGGCGGCGUGCCUAAUACAUGCAAGUCGAACGAGAGCAACCGGUGCUUGCACUGGUCAAUCUAGUGGCGAACGGGUGAGUAACACGUGGGUAACCUGCCCAUCAGAGGGGGAUAACAUCCGGAAACGGAUGCUAAAACCGCAUAGGUCUUCGAACCGCAUGGUUUGAAGAGGAAAAGAGGCGCAAGCUUCUGCUGAUGGAUGGACCCGCGGUGCAUUAGCUAGUUGGUGAGGUAACGGCUCACCAAGGCCGUGAUGCAUAGCCGACCUGAGAGGGUGAUCGGCCACAUUGGGACUGAGACACGGCCCAAACUCCUACGGGAGGCAGCAGUAGGGAAUCUUCCGCAAUGGACGCAAGUCUGACGGAGCAACGCCGCGUGAGUGAAGAAGGUGUUCGGAUCGUAAAACUCUGUUGUUAGAGAAGAACAAGUGCUAGAGUAACUGUUAGCGCCUUGACGGUAUCUAACCAGAAAGCCACGACUAACUACGUG